rnacentral:rRNA from 1 species
AUUGAACGCUGGCGGCAUGCUUUACACCUGCAAGUCAGACGAGUGGCGAACGGGUGAGUAACAUAUCGGAACGUACCGAGUAAUGGGGGAUAACUAAUCGAAAGAUUAGCUAAUCCCGCAUAGUAUUCGAGCGGCCGUUAUCUGAUUAGCUGGUUGGUGGGGUAAAGUCCUACAAAGUCAACGCUCAGUAGCGGGUCUGCGAGGAGGAUCCGCCAAACGGAGACUGAGACACGGCCCAGACUCUGACGGGAGGCAGAAGGGGGGAACUUUGGACAAUGGGCGCAAGCCUGAUCCAGCCAGGCCGCGUGUCUGAAGAAGGCCUUCGGGUGGUAAAGGCCUUUUGGCAGGGAAUCGGUACCUGAAGAAUAAGCACCGGCUAACUACGUGCCAGCCGCCGCGGUAAUUC